GCCUUCGUGGUGUAAUUGGAAGCAUUCUCGACGCCUAUUCGAGAGGUACAGGGUUCGAAUCCCGGCGAGGGCA